rnacentral:rRNA from 1 species
UACGUAGGGGGCAAGCGUUGUCCGGAUUUAUUGGGCGUAAAGAGCGUGUAGGCGGCCGUACAGGUCAGCUGUGAAAACUCGAGGCUCAACCUCGAGACGUCGGUUGAAACCGUACGGCUAGAGUCCGGAAGAGGAGAGUGGAAUUCCCGGUGUGAGCGGUGAAAUGCGCAGAUAUCGGGAAGAACACCCGUGGCGAAGGCGGCUCUCUGGGACGGUACUGACGCUGAGACGCGAAAGCGUGGGGAGCGAACAGG